UGCAAGUCGUACGAGGACGAAGGUUCGCCUUCGAGCCGAGUGGCGAACGGGUGCGUAACACGUGACCAAUCUGCCCUUGGGAGGGGGACAACCUGGGGAAACCCGGGCUAAUACCGCAUGAUGCGUCUCCAUCGCAUGUCGGAGACGCCAAAGGAGGGCCUCUACUUGUAAGCUCUCGCCCAAGGAGGAGGUCGCGGCGUAUCAGCUUGUUGGUGGGGUAACGGCCUACCAAGGCUACGACGCGUAGCGGGUCUGAGAGGACGACCCGUCACAUUGGGACUGAGAUACGGCCCAGACUCCUACGGGAGGCAGCAGUAAGGAAUAUUGCGCAAUGGUCGAAAGACUGACGCAGCGACGCCGCGUGUGGGAGGAAGCCUUUCGGGGUGUAAACCACUGUCAGACGGGAAGAACUCCGCUCGUCCAAACAGGGCGGGCGGCUGACGGUACCGUCAGAGGAAGCGCCGGCUAACUCCGUGCCAGCAGCCGCGGUAAGACGGGGGGCGCAAGCGUUGUUCGGAAUUACUGGGCGUAAAGCGCGGGCAGGUGGUUCGUUAAGUCUUUUGUGAAACUCCGGAGCUCAACUCCGGACAUGCGUAAGAUACUGGCGAACUAGAGACCGGUAGAGGCUAGCGGAAUUCCUGGUGUAGCGGUGGAAUGUGUAGAUAUCAGGAAGAACACCCGUGGCGAANGCGGCUAGCUGGGUCGGGUCUGACACUCAUCCGCGAAAGCGUGGGGAGCAAACAGGAUUAGAUACCCUGGUAGUCCACGCCGUAAACGAUGGGCACUAGGUGCCGGGCUUAUAGACGAGGUCGGUGCCGGAGCUAACGCAUUAAGUGCCCCGCCNGGGGAGUACNGCCGCNANGCUGAAACUCAAAGGAAUUGANNGGGGCCCGCACAAGCNGUGGANCAUGUGGUUUNNUUCGAAG
rnacentral:rRNA from 1 species